rnacentral:rRNA from 1 species
GAUGAACGCUGGCGGCGUGCUUAACACAUGCAAGUCGAACGAACCUUCGGGUUAGUGGCGGACGGGUGAGUAACGCGUGAGAAUCUGCCCUCAGGAGUGGGAUAACAGCUGGAAACGGCUGCUAAUACCCCAUAUGCCGCGAGGUGAAAUGAAUUUCGCCUGAGGAUGAGCUCGCGUCUGAUUAGCUAGUUGGUGUAGGUAAUGGCUCACCAAGGCAUCGAUCAGUAGCUGGUCUGAGAGGAUGAUCAGCCACACUGGGACUGAGACACGGCCCAGACUCCUACGGGAGGCAGCAGUGGGGAAUUUUCCGCAAUGGGCGAAAGCCUGACGGAGCAACGCCGCGUGAGGGAUGAAGGCCUCUGGGCUGUAAACCUCUUUUAUCAAGGAAGAAGAUCUGACGGUACUUGAUGAAUAAGCCACGGCUAAUUCCGUGCC